rnacentral:lncRNA from 1 species
GAUUUCCGAGAGAUUUUCACUCUCAUUUUCUCUCUCUAAAACUUAGGCAUAUCUUAACUUUUGAUCCGUAACUCCGAUUCAAGAUGUGUGAAAAGUUACGGAUUCGUCCUGAUGCCCUCUUUCUGGAGGUUUGAGUUAGAUCAAACGGUUGUUUCUAGAAGGCUUAUAUUAGGAGACUCGAUUUAUGAUCAGUAUAUUGAAAGUUGAUUCGUAUUGUCGAGGUCUGCAAGAGGGAGCAAGGGCUUUAUGGUGUGGAAAAUUGAUCUCUCUAAGGCUUAUGAUAAGCUAAACUGGAACUUUAUUCGACAGGUUUUCUAUGAGCUUCAACGUCCUGAUUCUGUAAUCAAUUAUUAUGCAUUGCAUCACUUCCGCUACUUUUCAAGUAAUUGUUAAUAGAGAUUUAUCUGAUAAAUUUGAUGCUGGUAGAGGUGU